ACCCCUAGCCAGUUAGUGCCAUCAGGAUGUGACACUCUAAUGGGACUGCCUACGCAAGUAGUGAGGAAGGUGGGGAUGACGUCAAGUCCGCAUGGCCCUUACGCCUAGGGCUACACACGUGCUACAAUGGAUGCUACAAUGGGUUGCGAAACCGUAAGGUGGAGCCAAUCCCUGAAAAGUAUCCUCANUUGGAGUUCUGCAACUCGACUUUCAUGAAGUUUGGAAUUGUCUAGUAAUCGCGGAUCAGCACGCCGCGGUG
rnacentral:rRNA from 1 species